AAAUAAUCAGACCACAUAGAGCUGAGGUGGGCCAAAAUAAUCAGACCACAUAGACAGAGUUGAGGUGGGCUAAAAUAAUAAGACCACAUAGACAGAGUUGAGGUGGGCCGAAAUAAUAAGACCACAUAGACAGAGUUGAGGUGGGCUGAAAUAAUCAGACCACAUAGAGUUGAGGUGGGCCGAAAUAAUCAGACCACAUAGAAAGAGUUGAGGUGGGCAGAAAUAAUCAGACCACAUAGACAGAAUUGAGGUGGGCCGAAAUAAUAAGACCACAUAGACAGAGUUGAGGUGGGCUGAAAUAAUCAGACCACAUAGAGUUGAGGUGGGCCGAAAUAAUCAGACCACAUAGACAGAAUUGAGGUGGGCUGAAAUAAUCAGACCACAUAGAGUUGAGGUGGGCCGAAAUAAUCAGACCACAUAGACGGAGUUGAGGUGGGCUAAAAUAAUAAGGCCAGAUAGACAGAGUUGAGGUGGGCUAAAAUAAUCAGACCACAUAGACAGAGUUGAGGUGGGCUAAAAUAAUAAGACCACAUAGACAGAGUUGAGGUGGGCUAAAAUAAUCAGACCACAUAGACAGAGUUGAGGUGGGCUAAAAUAAUCAAACCACAUAGAGUUGAGGUGGGCCGAAAUAAUCAGACCACAUAGACGGAGUUGAGGUGGGCUAAAAUAAUCAGACCACAUAGAGGGAGUUGAGGUGGGCUAAAAUAAUCAGACCACAUAGACAGAGUUGAGGUGGGCCGAAAUAAUCAGACCACAUAGAGUUGAGGUGGGCCGAAAUAAUCAGACCACUCGUGACCUCUUUGUCUUUCUGACUGAACGCUGGUGGUGCUGCUGCUAAUGCUGCUAUAUAAAUCAAUGCACUCAAAGAGAAAGCACAGUUUCCUAUGUCUAGAUGGGAGAUUUUCUUCUCCUCAAGCAUGUCUUAAAGUGAAGCAAAAAUGUGCCAAAAAUUGAUUUUCUUUUAAGAGAAACAAUUUUUGAUAAGUCCCGUAAAUUUAGCUUUAACUUUGCAAAGCUGAGAAACUCAUUUCUUAUAACUCAUUUCUAGCUUGGUCAGUCCAAUUACUUCAUUAAAUUUAAUUUAAAUUUAAAUUUAAUUACGCCCCAUUACUUCACCUCUUGGCUCUUGGAUAGAUGUGUAUGGUUCUACCUCUUCUUUCUGCACUGUUCAUUUGUGACUAAAAACUGGGGUACAGUAGUGAAUGCUGGUGGGGCUGAGGGUGAUAUGAUGUUUAUCCAAACUGGAAGAGUAAAUCAUUACUUAAAGUAGUACUGAGCCAGUGACCUUGCUUAAAAUUGAAUUUGUAUGUUUCGCUGUACACAAAAUUUGUUUUGUGUUUAGCGAAAUCUGUGCCGUGGAUAUGUGAAGAAAGAUGUUUACUCCCUGUCUGGAAACAUUUUCCUGCAGUACUUAUGCAUGUGUCUCCUUGUCAUUUAUUGUUUAAAUAAAAUUCUCAAGUAGAAAAAGAAAAAAAAAGAAA